rnacentral:rRNA from 1 species
AACGAACGCUGGCGGCAUGCCUAACACAUGCAAGUCGAACGGGAUCCUAGCUUGCUAGGUGAGAGUGGCGGACGGGUGAGUAACACGUGGGAAUCUGCCUUUUGGUUCGGGAUAACCGCGGGAAACUGCGGCUAAUACCGAAUGCCCUCGUGAGAGGAAAGAUUUAUCGCCAGAAGAGGAGCCCGCGUCCGAUUAGGUAGUUGGUGGGGUAAAGGCCUACCAAGCCGACGAUCGGUAGCUGGUCUGAGAGGAUGAUCAGCCACACUGGGACUGAGAUACGGCCCAGACUCCUACGGGAGGCAGCAGUGGGGAAUAUUGGACAAUGGGGGCAACCCUGAUCCAGCAAUGCCGCGUGAGUGAUGAAGGCCUUAGGGUUGUAAAGCUCUUUUGCCAGGGAGAUGAUGACUGUACCUGGAGAAUAAGCUCCGGCUAACUCCGUGCCAGCAGCCGCGGUAAU